CACCAGGGGGGUCCCGACAAGGGGCUGAGAUACUGCUGUAACGCGCAGUGACCCGUUGAACCUGAUCCAGUUCAUACUGGCGUAGGGACGGUGGGA
rnacentral:ncRNA from 1 species